AGAAUUAAAUAAAAAUGUCAAUACAUAUUCACGUAACGGGCGAUUUAUAGUGUUUCAAAAUACCUGAUCCUAUUUUUCAGCCAGAGGAUUGGGCGGACCAGACCAAAAUGUAAGACAAAUGGCUUCUUCGAAUUUAAAAUGCAAAAAAUUGACUGGAGGUGUACCUAACAAGGAGCAGAUAUUAUCGCCAACAGAAGAAGCAAUAUACAAUUUAAUACCAAUGAAAUCUUCCGUGGAAGCAGUGACGGUGAAACCCAAAGGUCUAGCUGGAAGAAGACACUCUAACAUUAAAUACUUAGAUAUUGACCGUGUACUGGCUUCUAAGUUAAAGGAUUCCAUUCGAUAAAAA
rnacentral:sRNA from 1 species